rnacentral:rRNA from 1 species
GAUGAACGCUGGCGGCGUGCUUAACACAUGCAAGUCGAACGGAGUGCUUAUGACAGAGGAUUCGUCCAAUGGAUUAAGUUACUUAGUGGCGGACGGGUGAGUAACGCGUGAGUAACCUGCCUUGGAGUGGGGAAUAACACAGUGAAAAUUGUGCUAAUACCGCAUAAUGCAGUUGGGCCGCAUGGCUCUGACUGCCAAAGAUUUAUCGCUCUGAGAUGGACUCGCGUCUGAUUAGCUAGUUGGCGGGGUAACGGCCCACCAAGGCGACGAUCAGUAGCCGGACUGAGAGGUUGAACGGCCACAUUGGGACUGAGAUACGGCCCAG